UAUCAAUAAGCGGAGGAAAAGAAACCAACAGGGGAUUGCCUUAGUAACGGCGAGUGAAGCGGCAACAGCUCAAAUUUGAAAUCUGGCGUCUUUGGCGUCCGAGUUGUAAUUUGUAGAGGAUGCUUCGGCGUAGGCGCCGCCUAAAGUUCCUUGGAACGGGACGUCGUAGAAGGUGAUAGCCCUGUGACAGGGCGGAUGCCGUCGCCAUGUGAAGCUCCUUCGACGAGUCGAGUUGUUUGGGAAUGCAGCUCAAAACGGGAGGUAAAUUUCUUCUAAAGCUAAAUACCGGCCGGAGACCGAUAGUGCACAAGUAGAGUGAUCGAAAGAUGAAAAGCACUUUGGAAAGAGAGUCAAACAGCGCGUGAAAUUGUUAAAAGGGAAGCGCUUGCGGUCAGAACUUGGCCGCCGUUGCUCGGGGAGGUCUCGUGCCUCCCUCGCUCUUCGGCGGCUGGGCCAGCAUCGGUUCGGGCGGCUCGAUAAAGGCCGCGGGAACGUAGCUCCCUCCGGGGAGUGUUAUAGCCCGCGGCGGAAUGGGGCCCGCCUGGAUCGAGGUCUGCGCAUCUGCUCGGAUGCUGGCGUAAUGGCCUCAAGCGGCCCGUCUUGAAACACGGACCAAGGAGUCUAACAUUCGUGCGAGUGUUCGGGUGUCAAACCCGUGCGCGCAAUGAAAGUGAACGUAGGUGGGAACCCCUCGUGGGCGCACCAUCGACCGAUCCUGAUGUCUUCGGAUGGAUUUGAGUAUGAGCACGUAUGUUGGGACCCGAAAGAUGGUGAACUAUGCGUAAACAGGGCGAAGCCAGAGGAAACUCUGGUGGAGGCUCGCAGCGGUUCUGACGUGCAAAUCGAUCGUCAAAUUCGCGCAUAGGGGCGAAAGACCAAUCGAACCAUCUAGUAGCUGGGUUCU
rnacentral:rRNA from 1 species